UAGGGAAUCUUCGGCAAUGGGGGCAACCCUGACCGAGCAACGCCGCGUGAGUGAAGAAGGUUUUCGGGUCGUAAAGCUCUGUUGUAAGAGAAGAACGUGUGUGAGAGUGGAAAGUUCACACAGUGACGGUAACUUACCAGAAAGGGACGGCUAACUACGUGCCAGCAGCCGCGGUAAUACGUAGGUCCCGAGCGUUGUCCGGAUUUAUUGGGCGUAAAGCGAGCGCAGGCGGUUUAAUAAGUCUGAAGUUAAAGGCAGUGGCUUAACAAUUGUUCGCUUUGGAAACUGUUAAACUGGAGUGCAGCAGGGGAGAGUGGAAUUCCAUGUGUAGCGGUGAAAUGCGUAGAUAUAUGGAGGAACACCGGUGGCGAAAGCGGCUCUCUGGUCUGUAACUGACGCUGAGGCUCGAAAGCGUGGGGAGCAAACAGG
rnacentral:rRNA from 1 species